rnacentral:rRNA from 1 species
AGUGGGGAAUAUUGCACAAUGGAGGAAACUCUGAUGCAGCAACGCCGCGUGGAGGAUGACGCAUUUCGGUGUGUAAACUCCUUUUAUAUGGGAAGAUAAUGACGGUACCAUAUGAAUAAGCACCGGCUAACUCCGUGCCAGCAGCCGCGGUAAUACGGAGGGUGCAAGCGUUACUCGGAAUCACUGGGCGUAAAGCGCGCGCAGGCGGACUAAUAAGCUAGAAGUGAAAUGCUGUGGCUCAACCAUAGAACUGCUUCUAGAACUGUUAGUCUAGAGUCUGGGAGGGGAAGAUGGAAUUAGUUGUGUAGGGGUAAAAUCCGUAGAGAUAACUAGGAAUACCAAAAGCGAAGGCGAUCUUCUGGAACAGUACUGACGCUGAGGCGCGAAAGCGUGGGGAGCAAACAGGAUUAGAUACCCUGGUAGUCCACGCCCUAAACGAUGAAUGUUAGUCGUUGGAUAGCUAGUCUAUUCAGUGAUGCAGUUAACACAUUAAACAUUCCGCCUGGGGAGUACGGUCGCAAGAUUAAAACUCAAAGGAAUAGACGGGGACCCGCACAAGUGGUGGAGCAUGUGGUUUAAUUCGAAGAUACGCGAAGAACCUUACCUAGCCUUGACAUUGAUAGAACACUUUAGAGAUAGAGUGGUGCCCUUCGGGGAACUUGAAAACAGGUGCUGCACGGCUGUCGUCAGCUCGUGUCGUGAGAUGUUGGGUUAAGUCCCGCAACGAGCGCAACCCUCGUGACUAGUUACUAACGGUUCGGCCGAGGACUCUAGUCAGACUGCCUUCGCAAGGAGGAGGAAGGUGAGGACGACGUCAAGUCAUCAUGGCCCUUACGGCUAGGGCGACACACGUGCUACAAUGGGUAGGACAAUGAGAAGCGAUACCGCGAGGUGGAGCAAAUCUAUAAACCUACUCUCAGUUCGGAUAGCAGUCUGCAACUCGACUGCUUGAAGCUGGAAUCACUAGUAAUCGUAGAUAAGGCAUGCUACGGUGAAUACGU